UACGGAGGGAGCUAGCGUUGUUCGGAAUUACUGGGCGUAAAGCGCACGUAGGCGGCUUUGUAAGUUAGAGGUGAAAGCCUGGAGCUCAACUCCAGAACUGCCUUUGAUACUGCAUGGCUUGAAUCCAGGAGAGGUGAGUGGAAUUCCGAGUGUAGAGGUGAAAUUCGUAGAUAUUCGGAAGAACACCAGUGGCGAAGGCGGCUCACUGGACUGGUAUUGACGCUGAGGUGCGAAAGCGUGGGGAGCAAGCAGG
rnacentral:rRNA from 1 species